AUGGCUGCCCUCGUGGACAAUUCUUUGCUUGAUGUACGUGAAAGAAAUUCGAUGGCUAUUACGCCCAAUACACAAACAAAGUCACACACCGUUCGCGGUAGACCCACACUAAAACUUGUGGAGCGUUUUGGGAACGGGUCGGUCCGCAAAAUUUACGAGAGAUCAAUUUUACGAUCGAUCCUUUACGAGUGAACCUUUCAUUGAGAAAUAUCAAGCGAAACCUGCUAUAUCAAACGAGUUAUCUCAUAUUAUGUUUACAUGUAGCAACCGUGUAUUUAGACGUGAUCGAGAACCCAGUAGAAUACCAGAAGCUACUCUGAAACGUCUCAGAAGAAAGGGCAGAAAACUGAAGGAAUUUGUUUAUGAGCGUAUUCGUCCAAGCAUACCGAAGUCCUCUUGGCUACGUCGUUAUGUGAAGGAUGUACUGCAGCUGCUAUCUAUUGUAAAGGUAAUGUGGGCUUGAAUAUAUUCGAUUCUCAUGCAAGGGAGAGAAGCCAUCCUCAAGGUCUAUGUGAAACAGAUUUUGAGCACAUAAUGCAAUACCUCACCAAACAUCUGCCAGGAUGACUCACUUAAAAGUGUGCAUGAGUAUCAUCUCUUGCUUAGAUAGGACACGUCACUUCAAUGUUUUUAUUACUACACAUAUGGGGGCUUUGGUAAGAUUGUGGAAAGGAGGGACAAUGUUUGAGCAGCUGGGAGGGACCAAAAUGACAGUGUGGCAGCCAUUUAUUCCCACUUGGAUGGCAAAGUCUGGGGAAC